AAUUGCCAGCUGGGCUUAAACCAGGACAAUUGUGUAUGUUUAAUUUCUAGGACACCUCUGCAUCUUGCUUGCAUAAAUGGCCAUGCAGAUGUUGUUCGGUUUCUAGUAGGCAAGAAUUGCAAGCUUAAUCCUCGUGACAAAUAUAAGAAAUCACCAUUGAUACAGGCAGUACAGCACCAGCACAGAGAUUGUGUGGCUUUUCUGCUGGAGCAUGGUGCCAACCACGACCACAGAGCUGCUACUGGUAACACCGCCCUUCACUUUGCUGUGCUGGUGUCUAGCAAAUCUCUAGUGGAGCUGUUACUUGAGCAUGGUGCAGAUAUUGAUGCUAAGAAUGAACUGGGAUACACUCCACUUACUCUUGCGAU